GAUCAGAUCAUGAUGGAUGCAGAGCUUUUGAGUAGCAAGGGAAAAAGGAAAUCCUGUAGAUUCCUUCCUUGAGGUAGUAGGGGUAGUAUGUGGUCUAAAGGACAGAAACAGAGAUCACAUAGUGAAUGCAUGGCUAUUAUUCCUUGAGUUCCUCAUUAGCUUCUUAUUGCUUAAGACAAAGGUAUACUCUAAGUAAAGGAAAGGAUAAGGAUAGAAGUUAGCAUGGGUAAAUCAUAGAAUAUGUGUAUAUAUAGAAGAAGUGCAGAAGGCAAAAAUAAAAUAGUUGGAUCAGGUGCAGCAGGAGAGAUAACCUGAAUACCAUUAGAAGUACCAGCCAGAGUGGUUAGAGCACCAAUUUUGAGUAACAUCAAGGUAUUGAUGACUUGAUAGAAACAGUGAAGGGAUAUAAGUUCCUGACAUGAUAGUCAGAUCAAGAAAGAGAGUAG
rnacentral:misc_RNA from 1 species